GGUGCCUUGCCUUGCGUGGACCCGGCGUCAGCGGUUGAGCCAACACUUCUUGACCGGGAGCCUUACAUCCCACAGGCGAGUGGUAUCCCUUCGGGGAAGCGCGAACCUGAGGUGCGGGCACCCACCUGCUGCGGCAGGUUCACCCGGCCGACCACGCAGGGCGGGGUUCGA
rfam:Actinobacteria bacterium 66_15 MPI_scaffold_105, whole genome shotgun sequence.